AAUCCUAAGAUUAAAAGAGCGAGAGAGAGAAAGAAGAGUCAGAUUUCUUUUCUCAAUAGCCUCAAGAUAUAUCACCUUUUAAAAACCAGCACGAGGACAUCCCCAGUAAGAUGGCCCUCCGCCGCGGCGCUUCCUCACCUGGGGCGGU